rnacentral:rRNA from 1 species
UAGUAACGGCGAGUGAACAGGGAAGAGCCCAGCACCGAAGCCUGUGGUCGGUUGGCCACUAGGCAAUGUGGUGUUCAGGUCGUUCCGCAGAGGCACUGCUCCAUCCUAAGUCCGGCAAUGAUUACGGUAAAACGGACAUGGCCCACAGAGGGUGUAAGGCCCGUGAGGGUGGAGAUUCGCCAGGCCAGUGCUUCUCUGGGUAGACCUUGGAGUCGGGUUGUUUGUGAAUGCAGCCCAAAGUGGGUGGUAAACUCCAUCCAAGGCUAAAUACUUGCACGAGUCCGAUAGCGAACAAGUACCGUGAGGGAAAGUUGAAAAGUACUUUGAAGAGAGAGUAAACAGUGCGUGAAGCCGCUCAGAGGUAAACGGGUGGAAUUGAACUGUGAACAUUGAGGAUUCAGCUGGUGAGUGUGGUUUGGGCUUGGUCAAAUUGGUUAAAGCCUGUGGUCUGCGUAGUAGCAGGUCCUUGUCUUCGGGCGAGGAUGCGCGAUGCACUUAUCAAGUGUUGUGCGCCAUGGGUCAGUAUUGGACCGGCUUGCCAGUGCACUUUCUCUUUGUGAAACCAUGACCGGUAUGCGAUCCGGCUGUUUCGGUUAAACCGGCUGGGUAUUGCCCUUGUGGUAUUAUUUAGUCGGGAUGGCAGGUGGCACUUUGAUUAGUGUGCAGCUCGCUGCGUGCUAAACAUCACUGUGUGUAAGCCGCCGACCGAAAUAGUGCAGUGUCAAAUGUCGGUGACUUUGGCUUGGUGUGAGCAUGCGUGCUAGUUCAGUUGACAAGUUUGGGUUUGGUUGCCAUGUUGCUUGUUUUGCAAGCCUGGUAGUAAUUUUAACUUGUUCAUCUGGCGGCUGCGUGUGUGACAUCGCUUGAGGCCUAUAGUCCAUGGUGUUGCGGUAGAUUAUCCACCCGACCCGUCUUGAAACACGGACCAAGGAGAGUAACAUGUGCGCGAGUCAAUGGGGAUUACGAAACCCAAAGGCGAAGUGAAAGUAAAGGUUCGGCUUGUCCGGACUGAAGUGAGAUCCUGCUGUGUCUCGCACGCGGUACUACCAAGUGUAGAACAGUGGGCGCAUCACUGGCCCGUCCCAUGAUGCAUUUUGACCAAUCGGGGCGGAGCAUGAGCGUACACGUUGAGACCCGAAAGAUGGUGAACUAUGCUUGCGCAGGUUGAAGCCAGAGGAAACUCUGGUGGAGGACCGCAACGUUUCUGACGUGCAAAUCGAUCGCCAGACGUGAGUAUAGGGGCG